UGUUUGAUGUUCUAACGUGGACCCGUAAUCCGGGUUGCGGACAGUGUCUGGUGGGUAGUUUGACUGGGGCGGUCUCCUCCUAAAGAGUAACGGAGGAGCACGAAGGUUGGCUAAUCCUGGUCGGACAUCAGGAGGUUAGUGCAAUGGCAUAAGCCAGCUUGACUGCGAGCGUGACGGCGCGAGCAGGUGCGAAAGCAGGUCAUAGUGAUCCGGUGGUUCUGAAUGGAAGGGCCAUCGCUCAACGGAUAAAAGGUACUCCGGGGAUAACAGGCUGAUACCGCCCAAGAGUUCAUAUCGACGGCGGUGUUUGGCACCUCGAUGUCGGCUCAUCACAUCCUGGGGCUGAAGUAGGUCCCAAGGGUAUGGCUGUUCGCCAUUUAAAGUGGUACGCGAGCUGGGUUUAGAACGUCGUGAGACAGUUCGGUCCCUA
rnacentral:rRNA from 1 species